rnacentral:rRNA from 1 species
CCUCCGUGUUUCAGCAGUUGGUGAUAUUGCACAAUGGGGGGAACCCUGAUGCAGCGACGCCGCGUGUGUGAAGAAGCGCCUCGGCGCGUAAAGCCCUUUCAGCAGGGAAGAAAAUGACGGUACCUGUAGAAGAAGCCCCGGCUAACUACGUGCCAGCAGCCGCGGUAAUACGUAGGGGGCAAGCGUUAUCCGGAGUUACUGGGUGUAAAGGGGGCGCAGACGGCGAUGCAAGCCAGGAGUGAAAGCCCGGGGCCCAACCCCGGGACUGCUCUUGGAACUGCGUGGCUGGAGUGCAGGAGGGGCAGGCGGAAUUCCUGGUGUAGCGGUGAAAUGCGUAGAUAUCAGGAGGAACACCGGUGGCGAAGGCGGCCUGCUGGACUGCAACUGACGUUGAGGUCCGAAAGCGUGGGGAGCAAACAGGAUUAGAUACCCGUGUAGUC